GGUUUCCUAGGAGACGGCCCGCGGGUUGCUCUCUGACUGAGAGCGGGAGGCUUCGGGACUGAGCCCUAGCUGCUGCGCUGGCCGAAGUUUUCUCGUCGGUAAAAUAGGAUAGCAGUGCACCAUAGGGUCGUUUUGAUAAAGAAGAAAGAAAGAAAUGAGGUCUCACUAUGUUGACAAGGCUGGUUUUGAACCCCUGGCCUCAAGCGGUCCUCGCACCUCAACCUCCCAAAGUGCUGGGAUUACAAGUGUGAGCCACCAUGCCUAGAUGAUACAGGCAUUCUCAAGCACAGCACCCAGCAACCUGAAUUGUGGCCAUAUCAGAACACAUCACCACCAGAUCAAAGAAUGAAAAAGUUAUCUGCUUUUUAAAUUAGACGUUUAGAAACCUGAUGAUGAGCAAGGAAAAGCCAAACACCGUUAAAGGUAUACAUUGCCUGAAGUCUAAAUUCCAUGUUUCCUUCCUGGAGAGCUUUCUGAAAAACAACACGAACCUGAUUCUCCCAUCUAGAGCUACCAGUCUAACAACU